ACGCUGGCGGCAGGCCUAACACAUGCAAGUCGAGCGGAUGAAGGGAGCUUGCUCCUGGAUUCAGCGGCGGACGGGUGAGUAAUGCCUAGGAAUCUGCCUGGUAGUGGGGGACAACGUUUCGAAAGGAACGCUAAUACCGCAUACGUCCUACGGGAGAAAGCAGGGGACCUUCGGGCCCUUGCGCUAUCAGAUGAGCCUAGGUCGGAUUAGCUAGUUGGUGAGGUAAUGGCUCACCAAGGCGACGAUCCGUAACUGGUCUGAGAGGAUGAUCAGUCACACUGGAACUGAGACACGGUCCAGACUCCUACGGGAGGCAGCAGUGGGGAAUAUUGGACAAUGGGCGAAAGCCUGAUCCAGCCAUGCCGCGUGUGUGAAGAAGGUCUUCGGAUUGUAAAGCACUUUAAGUUGGGAGGAAGGGCAGUAAAUUAAUACUUUGCUGUUUUGACGUUACCGACAGAAUAAGCACCGGCUAACUCUGUGCCAGCAGCCGCGGUAAUACAGAGGGUGCAAGCGUUAAUCGGAAUUACUGGGCGUAAAGCGCGCGUAGGUGGUUCGUUAAGUUGGAUGUGAAAUCCCCGGGCUCAACCUGGGAACUGCAUUCAAAACUGUCGAGCUAGAGUAUGGUAGAGGGGUGGUGGAAUUUCCUGUGUAGCGGUGAAAUGCGUAGAUAUAGGAAGGAACACCAGUGGCGAAGGCGACCACCUGGACUGAUACUGACACUGAGGUGCGAAAGCGUGGGGAGCAAAC
rnacentral:rRNA from 1 species